rnacentral:rRNA from 1 species
GCAGUCGCCACGGGAAUACGAAGGGGGCUAGCGUUGUUCGGAUUUACUGGGCGUAAAGGGCGCGUAGGCGGGCGAAUAAGUCAGGGGUGAAAUCCCAAGGCUCAACCGGGGAGGGUCAUUGGAAACUGGGAAACUUGAGUGCAGAAGAGGAGAGUGGAAUUCCACGUGUAGCGGUGAAAUGCGUAGAGAUGUGGAGGAACACCAGUGGCGAAGGCGACUCUCUGGUCUGUAACUGACGCUGAGGAGCGAAAGCGUGGGGAGCGAACAGGAUUAGAGACCCCAGUAGUCCCUGUCUCUUAUAC